CAGAAAAAGCAGACGGGCCGCGCGGAUCUCCCUGCCGCUUUUUGCUUUGUUUGCGCCUCUCGUUGCGCGUUUGCUGCACCUGGAUCUCCGCCUCGGAGGUUGCUGAUGGGGGAAUUCCGGCUUUGCAAUGAGACUAUCAAUAAUACCGAACCUCAUGUGGCUGAAAUAUUUAGACUUUCACAUCGUCCGGUGCAUGUGAUGAAGAGAAGCUCUCCUCCAGCUGAUGACCGAGACCUGUGCUGUGAUUUCACGAGAUAUCCUCGGUACGGGAGACGACAUCGCUGUGGCCGCCUGAGAGGACUUGUGUGUCCGGAGCCGUCGGGGAUUGGCCGCGUGUCAUCCUGGGUCUUCAGAAGGAACAGUGAAGGAACGUUGUGUUGGGGACUUGGGGAUGAGAGGUUUGGGGACCCGUUGAGUGGCUCAGAAUCAUGCUUUUAUUAUUGAAUCAUGCUCGGAGGAGAUUCUGGCAAAUGUGCAUCACACUGAGGGCUGCAGGUGUUUUCAAGCCGAGCGAUGAUGAUGCUGCGACACGCAUCCAUGGCGAUGAAUAAAAAAUGAUUCUGCUAUCUGA